AAUUUUCCCGCAGGGAAUGAAUGAAAUUAGUGAGAUGGAAGGGUGGAUAUUUAUGGAAAGUUGUUCAAUGGAUAGUGUACGACUAUGUAUAUGGUUAUUCAUUAGGGAUCAACUAAAAUGUCUGUGGGAAGAAAUGAGUCAGCUGUACAAGGAUGUUUGUAAAGAUGUGCAUGAAAUAUGCUAUAUGAUAUACAUGUAAUGUAUGAUCGAUCUCUUUUUUCGUCUUUCUCUAUAUUUUCCAUUAUCUUCUUUUUUCAUUCUUUUCUUUUUUCCAUUCUUUUCCUUUUCUUUUUUUUUUCCUUUUCAUUCUUUUCUUUUUUCCAUUCUUUUCCUUUUUUUCUUUUCUUUUUUCCACUCUUUUCCUUUUCAUUCUUUUCUUUUUUUCCAUUCUUACCUCCACUAACAAGUUCUUGGCGUAUAACUAAAGAUUGAAAUAUCCAUGUAGGAUUGCACGACGAUAAAAGAAUCAGGCGUUUGCUAAUGCAAGUACCCGAACAAAAAGAAUAGGAACAAGAUCUUCUACCACAGGCAGAGAGACGUCUUGCAAAAAGGGACGGACAACUCAACUGAGAAAUGACCUCCUCGUGCAAUAGGUAGCAACGACUCCU
rnacentral:lncRNA from 1 species